rnacentral:rRNA from 1 species
CCUACGGGUGGCAGCAGUGAGGAAUAUUGGUCAAUGGGCGGGAGCCUGAACCAGCCAUGCCGCGUGAAGGCGAGUGCCCUACGGGCGUUAAACUUCUUUUGUGCGGGAGCAAUAAGGGCCACGCGUGGCCCGAUGAGAGUACCGCACGAAUAAGCAUCGUCUAACUCCGUGCCAGCAGCCGCGGUAAUACGGGGGAUGCGAGCGUUAUCCGGAUUUAUUGGGUUUAAAGGGUGCGUAGGCGGCGCUUCAGGUCAGCGGUGAAAUACCGGGGCUCAACCCCGGGGCUGCCGUUGAAACCGGAGCGCUAGAAUUCCGAUGCCGUCGGAGGAAUGUGUGGUGUAGCGGUGAAAUGCAUAGAUAUCACACAGAACUCCGAUUGCGAAGGCAGCUUACUAAGCCAUAACUGACACUGAAGCACGAAAGCGUGGGGAUCAAACAGGAUUAGAUACCCUUGUAGUC